rnacentral:tRNA from 1 species
GGUCCCAUAGCUCAGUUGGUAGAGCACCACCUUGACAUGGUGGUGGUCACAGGUUCAAGUCCUGUUGGGGCCACCA